AUGGGGUGCAGCAGGCGCGAAAACUUGGCAAUGCGAGAAAUCGUGACCAGGGAACUCCAAGUGCAUCGGGUAAGACCGAUGCUUUUCUUGACUCUUCAAAGGUCUUGGAAUAAGGGGUGGGUAAGGACGGUGCCAGCCGCCGCGGUAAUACCGGCGCCUCAAGUGGUAGUCGAUUUUAUUGGGCCUAAAACGUCCGUAGCCUGUUUGGUACAUUCGUGGGUAAAUCAACCAGCUCAACUGGUUGAAUUCUGCGAGCACGGCCAGACUUGGGACCGGGAGAGGUGUGGGGUACGCUCAGGGUAGGGGUAAAAUCCUGUCAUCCUGAGCGGACCACCUGUUGCGAAGGCGCCACACUAGAACGGAUCCGACGGUCAGGGACGAAGCCUAGGGGCACGAACCGGAUUAGAUACCCGGGUAGUCCUAGGUGUAAACGCUGUGGACUUGGUGUUGGGGAUUCUCAGAGGAUUCUCAGUGCCGAAGCGAAGGUGAUAAGUCCACUGCCUGGGGAGUACGGUCGCAAGGCUGAAACUUAAAGGAAUUGGCGGGGGAGCAC
rnacentral:rRNA from 1 species